UUGAUUUCGACCAGGGAGAGGGGGAGGGAAAAUGGAUCAAGAGGAGUCAAGGCUGUCGCAGUUGCUGAAGUGACGUUGCACGCCUUUCUCUUUCCAUGGACUUUCCUCUCUUUCUAGUUUCCUUAUUCACCUGUGCAUUCUUUGUAGGCCCUCGAAAGAGGAUCUAUGUUUCUAUAUCUACGCUUUUUGCAAUGCAUGUCUAGAAUGUAUACAAACAAACUUUA
rnacentral:misc_RNA from 1 species